rnacentral:lncRNA from 1 species
CCCACACCGCGCACAUACUUUCCGAACCCCACACCCGCCUGGAAGUAUAUAACAAGGUUUACAAAUUCUUUUCUGCAGGUUCCUAGCAUUUACAGAGGAGUAUCAGAAGGGGGGCUUUGGGUAGGGAAAAUCUUGAAAUCUUGAAAAUGAAAGCCUGGAUGGGACUUUAAAGAGAGUAAAACAAAGCAGGACAUUCUUUUCAAACUUGGUUCCCUUUUAAAAAACACGGAUUACGUUCUCAGAGAGGGAAACUGAACAAAAUGCAGCCGCAUUUAAGGGAUUUCCUCUCUCCAGUUUUUCUCCGGUCCCUUAAUCGUGUUUAAGCCUUGUUGAGUACUUUGUUUACGGUCCCUAGUGUGGUGAUUUGCAUCCCCCUCGCUGGGUUGCUGUUGGCUGGAGCUGGCAGCUGUCUCAGUCCGAUUCUGGCUGGGAAAGUGGAGAUUCCUGUCCUGUCAUUUUACUGACAGACAAGCCACUACAGGCUCUUUCCCAGAAGUUGACCGAAGAAACUCAAGCACUGCUGUUUCUUCCCUCCCAAGUCCGGUGUGCCGCCUGGUAAUGGAUUGCUUUUCUCUGAGCCUCAAGAAUCUUCCUCUGAAUUUCUUCGGUAACUGCAAUGCUGCUAGCUACAUCGCUUCUCGGGGACAAAAGAGGAAGACUUAA